CUCAUGGUUUCACGGUAUUGCAAUGAGAACAAUUUAAAACCCUUAGCGAGAAUCAAGUGGAGGACAAGUCUGGUGCCAGCACCCGCGGUAAUUCCAGCUCCACUAGCGUAUAUUAAAGUUGUUGCAGUUAAAAAGCUCGUAGUUGAACCUCUGUCUGGGGCUAGUUUUGGCUUUGGUCAGGCUAGUUCUAGGCAUCCGCCUACAAGACUUAGAGGGCAUUCAGUUGUUCACUAGGAGGAGUAGGCAUUUUACUUUGAAAAAAUUAGAGUGUUUAAGGCAGGCAAUCGCCCGCAUAUAUUAGCAUGGAAUAAUAGAAUAGGACACUUUUCCAUUUCGUUGGUUAUUGGAAUCGUGUAAUGAUUAAUAGGGACAGUUGUGGGCAUUUGUAUUUAAUUGUCAGAGGUGAAAUUCUUGGAUUUAUUAAAGACAAACUAACGCGAAAGCAUUUGCCAGGAUGUUUUCAUUAAUCAAGAACGAAAGUUAGGGGAUCAAAGACGAUCAGAUACCGUCCUAGUCUUAACUAUAAACUAUUCCGACUCAAUGUUUGACUGGCUUAUAUAACCAGUUGAGCGUUGUAUGAGAAAUCAAAGUCUUUAGGUUCUGGGGGGAGUAUGGUUGCAAAGCUGAAACUUAAAGGAAUUGACGGAAGAGCACAACCAGGAGUGGAUUCUGCGGCUUAAUUUGACUCAACACGGGGAAACUUACCAGGUUAAAACAAUAGUGGGAUUGACAGUUUGAGAGCGCUUUCUUGAUUGGUUGGGUGGUGGUGCAUGGCCGUUCUUAGUUGGUGGAGUGAUUUGUCUGCUUAAUUGCGUUAACGAACGAGACCUUAACCUGCUUACUAGACUGGCGAUCAUCAAUCGUUAGCUCUUCUUAGAGGGACUUUGGUUGUUUUAACUCCAAGGAAGUUUGAGGCAAUAACAGGUCUGUGAUGCCCUUAGAUAUCCUGGGCCGCACGCGUCAUACAAUGACUAGUUCAGAAAGUUUUCUCCUGACCCGAAAGGGGAUGGGUAAUCUUGAUAAUACUAGUCGUGUUAGGGAUCGAUCUUUGCAAUUAUAGAUCUUGAACGAGGAAUUCCUAGUAAGUGCGGUUCAUCAGACCGUACUGAUUACGUCCCUGCUCUUUGUACACACCGCCCGUCGCUUCUACCGAGUGGGUGGUCCGGUGAGAUAAUUGAACUUCGCAGGUAACUGAGAGGAAAGAUUAUCAAACCUAUCCACCU
rnacentral:rRNA from 1 species